rnacentral:rRNA from 1 species
UACGUAGGGGGCUAGCGUUGUCCGGAAUCAUUGGGCGUAAAGCGCGUGUAGGCGGCCCGGUAAGUCCGCUGUGAAAGUCGGGGGCUCAACCCUCGAAAGCCGGUGGAUACUGUCGGGCUCGAGUGCGGAAGAGGCGAGUGGAAUUCCCGGUGUAGAGGUGAAAUUCGUAGAUAUCGGGAGGAACACCAGUGGCGAAGGCGGCGAUCUGGGUCGAUACUGACGCUGAGGUGCGAAAGCGUGGGGAGCAAACAGG